GGUGAGAUGGCCGAGCGGUCCCAGGCGCCAGACUAAGGUACGUAAUCCAAAAAAAGUGGAAACCUGUCAUCUGGUCUCUCCGGAGGUUCGAAUCCCCCUCUCAUCA